UGUGGGAGCGGGCUUGCCCGCGAAGGCGGUCUGUCAGUUACAUGGAUGCUGGCUGACACACCGCUUUCGCGGGCAAGCCCGCUCCCACA
rnacentral:antisense_RNA from 1 species